rnacentral:rRNA from 1 species
UACGGAGGGGGCUAGCGUUGUCCGGAAUCAUUGGGCGUAAAGCGCGUGUAGGCGGCCCGAUAAGUCCGCUGUGAAAGUCCAGGGCUCAACCUGGGAACUGCGUCUGAUACUGGAUGGCUUGAAUCCGGGAGAGGGAUGCAGAAUUCCAGGUGUAGCGGUGAAAUGCGUAGAUAUCUGGAGGAACACCGGUGGCGAAGGCGGCAUCCUGGACCAACACUGACGCUGAGUGAGCGAAAGCCAGGGGAGCAAACGGG